rnacentral:rRNA from 1 species
UGGGGAAUAUUGCACAAUGGACGGAAGUUUGAUGCAGCGACGCCGCGUGGAGGGUGUAGGCCUUCGGGUUGUGAACUCCUUUUUCUCGCGAAAAAGGCACAGUUUUGGCUGUGUUGAUGGUAGUGGGGGAAGAAGCGCCGGCUAACUACGUGCCAGCAGCCGCGGUAAUACGUAGGGCGCGAGCGUUGUCCGGAUUUAUUGGGCGUAAAGAGCUCGUAGGUGGUUCGUCGCGUCUGUCGUGAAAGCCAGCAGCUUAACUGUUGGUCUGCGGUGGGUACGGGCGGGCUUGAGGGCGGUAGGGGUGACUGGAAUUCCUGGUGUAGCGGUGGAAGGCGCAGAUAUCAGGAGGAACACCGAUGGCGAAGGCAGGUCACUGGGCCGUUACUGACACUGAGGAGCGAAAGCGUGGGGAGCGAACAGG